rnacentral:tRNA from 1 species
GUGGCGCUGGCGGAUGCCCGUGCGCUCGACGAUCCACUCGUCGGAGGUGGCGAUAUCGCGCGUCGCCAGUUCCGCAGCCAGGGCGUCAUUC